rnacentral:rRNA from 1 species
AUUGAACGCUGGCGGCAGGCCUAACACAUGCAAGUCGAGCGAGCGGCGGACGGGUGAGUAAUGCCUGGGAAUUGCCCAGUCGAGGGGGAUAAAAGUUGGAAACGAGUGCUAAUACCGCAUACGAUUGGGUUGCACAGGUGGGAUUAUCUAGUGGGUGAGGUAAUGGCUCACCAAGGCGACGAUCCCUAGCUGGUCUGAGAGGAUGAUCAGCCAAACUGGAACUGAGACACGGUCCAGACGCCUACGGGAGGUAGCAGUGGGGAAUAUUGCACAAUUGGCGAAACCCUGAUGCAGCCAUGCCGCGUGUGUGAAGAAGGCCUUCGGGUUGUAAAGCACUUUCAGCGAGGAGGCGUUACUCGCAGAAGAAGCACCGGCUAACUCCGUGUCAGCAGCCGCGGUAAUUC